GCUCCAGAGGCUGCCAUUCCAUGGUCAGGGUCAAGACCAAAAGUAAGGAGAAGCUGAGGCUUGGGUCCUGCCAUCGGAUUAACACACCAGGAAAUGUUGACUCACAGAUUCCCCUUGAGCUGUGGGCCUCCAGAGCUUCCUGCUUCCCCUGCCCCUGAAGACACUCUUGAAGUAUCUGCCCUUGCCCCUCUCCAACCAGUAGCGUCACCCAGCUGCAGCAAUGUCUGGUGGGCAGGACAGAGCGCCAGUGACCCCUGCCACAGGACCAGGAUCUGAAAAAUGUCAAACGCAGAAUAGAUGAGAUUAACUAAGUGACCUAGGCAUACCCACCAGGACACAGGACAGGGUGCCUUAGUACCCAUGCUACUAGGAUGGCCUUUCAUUGCUCAUAAAAACUGUGCCCCACAUUCAAUGAAGUAAAAGUACCAAGUUGUCAUAGCAGACAGCAGAGGAGGAUGAGUGGCACUGUGGAGUAAGCAGGCUCCUGAGCCUGGGCCCAGGCUGGCCAUGCUUCAGGAACACUGCAAGGACACUCAGGGACGAGGGAGUGCUAGUCAUGGCAGGACAGGGCUAUGCAGAGAUGCUACUCAGAAUGGGGCAAAGUGAACUGGGACUGUGCUGUCUCCAGGAAGUUGAUGACCCCUCUAGGCCCAGCUUCUUCUAUACACAGUGAAGGUGUUGGGUGGAGAGGCCCAGCACUUUGUGCUCUGUGGCCCAGUCCUGCCCAGUCAAAGGGAGGCUGGCCAAGACCUUCAGGCCUCACACUGCAAGCUCAUCCCAGGGUCUGUUUCUCCUCUGCAGGGAAAAGAUGUCCUUGUGCUGGCCAGAUCUGGACACACCUUGAGGCUGUCUUCCACAGGCAAGUGACCAAGUGGACAGUGGUGGACCCCUCAGCAACAUGGGACAGACAUGGACACCUGGGGAUCAGUAGAAGCCAAGUGGCAGCAGGAAGAGCACUCAGACCCACUUCUGUGUGAUGUACUCAGCAUGCUGCCUGGAAUACUGUCCUGUUCAACAUAUGUGACAUGGUGGUCAAGGUCCCGACAUCAGAGGCUGCAGUUUCAGUGAAAGGGCACUGAGCAUCCCCAGGGACUCUCAUCAAAGGCAGAGGACACAGGGCACAGGGCCUGCUGACCUAGGACCCUGCUCUCCUCGGACUCUGCUCUCCUCUGUCUAAAAUGGGGGCAGCAAAGGCAGCCCUUUUCCACUUUCCUGUCAUCACUGUCUCCUUGCGUUGUCCAGGAGUCAGAAUCCUGGAUCCAGAAUCCAGGGAUCACCCUGGGUACCAUAUCCUCUUGGCUCUCCAGCAACAGAGGCUGAUCAGGGCAGCAGAUAGAGCACAGAGAGCUGACCUGGGACCCAGAGAUCAUGCUUGGUUCUGAGCAGCAGGAGACCAUGGGGCUUCUUCUGCAGGUGUCCUUCAGUGACUCUGGCUUCAUUCAGGUCACCCAGGCAGGGUGAUGACCAAGAUACCAGAUGGGUGAACUGUCAUGGUGUCGCUCCUUCCUGCAACAGCCAUGACUUGUUGCUCUUCUGCCCUGCACCCAGAGGCUGUACUCCCCCAGCUUCCCCUCUGCUGUGCCCAGGACCUCCAAUGCAUUGCUGCUCCUGCUGGCUCUACACCCUCAACUGCCUGCUGCCACCACACGCGUACGCCACCAUCCUCCCAGGGACAUCGCUUGGGAGUAAACCUCUGUGACUGCCUUCUAACUCACUUCUUUGGGGUUCUUGUUCACCUUUGUUACUUUCUGGCCUAUUUUUCAUGAAUCUGAUUGCUUUCCAUGUCUUUGGGUGGAAAUAUCUCUUUUCUAGUUGCAUCUCACUUUGUAGAUAGACUAUCAAUGCCUGCAAACUUGAGAAUCUGCUCCACAGGUGAAGCGAUACACAGAUGAUCAUAAAGGCAACUGUGCAGAUGGAAGACAGGGCUGAUACUGGGUUUGCACGCAUGGCUGUGUGGGGGCAACAUGGGUUCUGUCAGCCCUCACUGUGUGCUAUGUAGGGUUCCAGGACCUGGGUCAAGUUCAGGAUCAGGAUCAG
ensembl:lincRNA